rnacentral:rRNA from 1 species
GGAGCUUGCUCCUUGAUUCAGCGGCGGACGGGUGAGUAAUGCCUAGGAAUCUGCCUGGUAGUGGGGGACAACGUUUCGAAAGGAACGCUAAUACCGCAUACGUCCUACGGGAGAAAGCAGGGGACCUUCGGGCCUUGCGCUAUCAGAUGAGCCUAGGUCGGAUUAGCUUGUUGGUGAGGUAAUGGCUCACCAAGGCGACGAUCCGUAACUGGUCUGAGAGGAUGAUCAGUCACACUGGAACUGAGACACGGUCCAGACUCCUACGGGAGGCAGCAGUGGGGAAUAUUGGACAAUGGGCGAAAGCCUGAUCCAGCCAUGCCGCGUGUGUGAAGAAGGUCUUCGGAUUGUAAAGCACUUUAAGUUGGGAGGAAGGGCAGUAAGUUAAUACCUUGCUGUUUUGACGUUACCGACAGAAUAAGCACCGGCUAACUCUGUGCCAGCAGCCGCGGUAAUACAGAGGGUGCAAGCGUUAAUCGGAAUUACUGGGCGUAAAGCGCGCGUAGGUGGUUUGUUAAGUUGGAAUGUGAAAGCCCCGGGCUCAACCUGGGAACUGCAUC